rnacentral:rRNA from 1 species
GACGUAGGGGGCCAGCGUUGUUCGGAAUUACUGGGUGUAAAGGGUUCGUAGGCGGUGCGGCAAGUUGGGAGUGAAAUCUCUGGGCUUAACCCAGAGGCUGCUUCCAAAACUGCUGUGCUUGAGUGUGGGAGAGGCGCGUGGAAUUGCAGGUGUAGCGGUGAAAUGCGUAGAUAUCUGCAGGAACACCGGUGGCGAAGGCGGCAUCCUGGACCAACACUGACGCCGAGGAGCGAAAGCUAGGGGAGCGAACGGG